GCCGGGCGUGAAGGCUCAUGCCUGUAAUCCCAGCACUUUGGGAGGCCGAGGCGGGUGGAUCACCUGAGGUCAGGAGUUCAAGACCAGCCUGGCCAACAUGGUGAAACCCUGUCUCUA
rnacentral:SRP_RNA from 1 species